CGGAGAGUCGAAAUAGUACUUAGUGGCGAACGGGUGAGUAACGCGUUGGUGACCUGCCCCGAAGCGGGGGAUAACAGCUCGAAAGGGCUGCUAAUACCCCAUGAGGUCUCAUUGGUUAGAGGCGAUGAGACGAAAGGGAGUAAUCCCACUUUGGGAGGGGCCUGCGUCCCAUCAGCUAGUUGGUAGGGUAAAAGCCUACCAAGGCGAAGACGGGUAGGGGACCUGAGAGGGUGACCCCCCACACUGGCACUGAAACACGGGCCAGACACCUACGGGUGGCAGCAGUAGGGAAUAUUGCACAAUGAGCGAAAGCCUGAUGCAGCAACGCCGCGUGCGCGAAGAAGGCCUUCGGGUUGUAAAGCGCUUUUCGGGGAGAUGAGGAAGGACAGUAUCCCCGGAAUAAGGCUCGGCUAACUACGUGCCAGCAGCCGCGGUAACACGUAGGAGCCAAGCGUUAUCCGAAUUCACUGGGCGUAAAGCGCGUGUAGGCGGCUCGAUAAGUUGGAUGUGAAAGCUCCUGGCUCAACUGGGAGAGGACGUUCAAUACUGUCGGGCUAGAGGACGGCAGAGGGAGGUGGAAUUCCCGGUGUAGUGGUGAAAUGCGUAGAUAUCGGGAGGAACACCAGUGGCGAAGGCGGCCUUCUGGGCCGCUCCUGACGCUCAGACGCGAAAGCUAGGGGAGCGAACGGGAUUAGAAACCCCGGUAGUCCUAGCUGUAAACGAUGUAGACUUGGUGUAGGUGGUGUAAAAGCCAUCUGUGCCGAAGCACACGCGAUAAGUCUACCGCCUGGGGACUACGGCCGCAAGGUUA
rnacentral:rRNA from 1 species